ensembl:lncRNA
UAACGCACAGCAAUUACACCUCCACACAAUCCCGGCUGAAAGAAAAGAUGUUUGGUGGUCAGGAGGAUCGGAAGAUAAAGGGAAACCAAAUAGAACACUCUGUUUGGAUGCACUUGAUUUUCUGUUUUAUUUAUAGCCAGAAAUGACAGAGCCAACACUGGAGUGGCCAAAAACUUCAAAGAGGCCAAGGAAUCCCCUAACAACUCCUUUGUGCUCUGUUUUACCCUGGCUCCAAUGUCACAACCCAUGAAUCAUGGACUGAAUAACAAAUCACAGCCUGCUCCCCUCACCGGCUUGAGAACUCUGUUUCUGUAGGAUGAAACCACCCAAGAAACUAUGAUCCCUGAAUGCUAUGCUGAGUUGAAGGUGUUUAGUAAAUCCAGAGCAUGCACCCUAUGUCCACACAGACUUAAUGAAUCUGAUCUACCUCGCAGCAAAGAAUUCCCUUAUUCUGGACCUUUCCAUCACCAUCAACACCCUUACCCUUAAAGUCCACAAACACACAUAGCUAGGAGUCUAAGUGGAAACUUAAAUGAGCUAAAUUAUGUUGAUUAUGUUAUCAACCUCCAGAGAGUGCAGAUUUCUAGAAAUGGCUCAAGUUCACAUGUAUGGUAUUCCCAGAUUUGAUUACUUUAACGCCACACUGUAAAAGCAAAAGGUUCCUGGAAGAUAUCUUGUAGAUUCUUCAGAUUGUCUCACUGGUGGAACCUUUAAAAGUGCCUUCGGAAUCCUUGUUACAAAGGCUUUUGAAACAUGAAUGGUUCCUGAAAGAAUCCCAAUGUUAACAAGAAACUUCCAGAAAACAUUGUUGGUUUUUGUUUGACCCGAAUUCAGGAUAUUUGCAUCUGAUAAGUUCUCUCCCCCUAAAUUAAUUAGAUCUUUAGAUUUUGCUAUUGUCCACUUUACUUACAGACUAGACACUAUAGCACUUGUACAAACCAGUCUUAGUCCUUAAUCUUUUGAGAGAGUACUGAUUGAAUCAUUACUUAUUAUCCAAGUACAUUAUAUCAUUGAACUUUUGGCUGUUUGUUCUUUUCGUGCGUCACUCUGGAGCAAUGUGUCUAAUAACUCAUUAGUUAUUAGUUAUUUGUGAUCAAAUAACUAAAAGCAAAUUUCAUAUUUACAAGCUAUUUGGUUUUAAACAAAUAUUUACAUAUUAAAUACCUUAGAUGUUUUGUUCAUAUGCCUGUAUGUAUCUAUAGGUAUACCUCUGUCUCUGAGUCUGAGUGUUUGUGUGUCUGUUGUCUUUGUUCCUGCAUCUCUUGCAAUAAUUAAACUCUAAGGAUUUACACAUGCACAUGCACACACGUGUCCUUGAGGACUCUUGUGUACCUGACACAAAAACUACCACAGACAAAGACCACACAAACAACAUUUACCAAACCUGUACAUUUGUAAAAUGGAUUCAUUAUUUGUCUCAGCUCUUAUCUAGUAAUGCAACUGUGUUUUCCUAAACACACUGUCUGUCAAGGCUUCAUGUUGAUUAACUUUAAAAGGCACUAAUGCUACCACUUACCCACGAGCUAUUUGGAGUACUUUGAAAUCAAGAGGAAAACACUGUCCGUGAAUUUAUACUGUGGCCGGUGAAGCCUAAUCUGUAAUAAGCAGCUUUCACUGUGUAGCAAUGACCCCCAGAGAACCACAGACCUCUUUUCUCUAAUGUACCAAGUGCAAUAUUACACCAAUGUACUCCAUUUUUCCAGACCGAGACAAUACAGAUGGUAGAGGUGAAAAAUAAGAACAAAAAUACUAGGUAACUUCCUCACUACCAAAAAGAACAGUCAAUUUUCUAUUUGAAAGAAAGACUCUUCCUGCAGUCUUUUAGUGUAAAAUUCUCCUUCUGGUCCUUUCUUACACUACUUUGCUCAGACUGCACACAAAUAAAGAGCUGCUAGCAAUCAAACACACA